CUAAGUGAUGUCAAGAUCUGGAUUCAGUGGAAUGUUCCAUGGUACGUAGCUCCCUGCCAUUGUGGAUACAAUGCUGGCCUUGAAGUGAAAAAGACCUGAAUCUUGUCUCAGACAUGACCUAUGUGACCUUAGUCUAGGUCUCUAUAUCACACCCAGGAUGGAGGACCAUAUCAGGUUUUGAUGCUCUGGAACAGCUGUGGCUCAUUUGGAGCACAAGACACUCCAGAAGUGGGGAAGGAGAUCUAGAAGCAGCAAUCUGAAGAAGACUCUGUCUCUCUGUCUGUCCACCUGUCCACCUGUCUCUCUGUCUCUUUCUCUUACUCCCUCUCUCAGCCAGGGUUAAAAGUUACUGGUUUUCUCUUUCAUGCUUACUUCACCUGUCAUCAGACUGAACCCAAGGUCUUUAUGCCAAAUGUGCUGACCAGACAGAGAAUAAGCAAAUUUUGCCAAAGAUCACAUUUUCUGCAUCCCUAUUCUAACCCGGUUUUUUCUCUAUUUAGGCAGUUCUAAUCAUUUGCACUAUCAAAAUGUUUUGGUGAGAAUCCCAAUGAAGUCAUUUAACUUCUCUGAUUAAAAGGGCUGCUUGGGUUUUGGUCAAUACCCUUUAAUCGGAGGGUGCCAGGCACUUUCAGAAAACAUUGCCAGCCAGCUGGACAAGCUUUCAAGAUUUCUGAUUACUACAGCUUGUAUGAGCUUUAAGUUUUGAAGCAUUGAGAGGCUUGAGGGUUCUGGAGGGAAGCAUUCUUGUAUUAGACAUUUCCUUAGGCAUGUCCACAGUAACGAGCUCUGGGUUUUUCAGAUAGGGAAGGUCAAGAAACAUUUGUUGACUGAAGAGACAGUUACAUUGUGUAUACUACUAGUUACUUUGAGUAAGUUGUAUCUUAUUGAGCAAACAAAUAUCUGAGAAAGACUUAAGCUUCAUCAGCUUUGGCUUCAAACAACAGGCGCAGAACAGAAUCACAAAGCAGAGCUUCCUGA